AACGAACGCUGGCGGCAGGCCUAACACAUGCAAGUCGAGCGCGCCCUUCGGGGAGAGCGGCGGACGGGUGAGUAACGCGUGGGAACGUGCCCUUUUCUACGGAAUAGCCUCGGGAAACUGAGAGUCAUACCGUAUCCGCACCUUGGAGGAAAGAUUUAUCGGAAAAGGAUCGGCCCGCCUUGGAUUAGGUAGUUGGUGGGGUAAUGGCCUACCAAGCCGACGAUCCAUAGCUGGUUUGAGAGGAUGAUCAGCCACACUGGGACUGAGACACGGCCCAGACUCCUACGGGAGGCAGCAGUGGGGAAUCUUAGACAAUGGGGGCAACCCUGAUCUAGCCAUGCCGCGGGAGUGAUGAAGGCCUUAGGGUUGUAAAGCUCUUUCAGCUGGGAAGAUAAUGACGGUACCAGCAGAAGAAGCCCCGGCUAACUCCGUG
rnacentral:rRNA from 1 species